rnacentral:rRNA from 1 species
CGGCAGCUUACACAUGCAGUCGAGCGGAGAGAGGUAGCUUGCUACUGAUCUUAGCGGCGGACGGGUGAGUAAUGCUUAGGAACCUGCCUAUUAGUGGGGGACAACAUUUCGAAAGGAAUGCUAAUACCGCAUACGUCCUACGGGAGAAAGCAGGGGAUCUUCGGACCUUGCGCUAAUAGAUGAGCCUAAGUCGGAUUAGCUAGUUGGUGGGGUAAAGGCCUACCAAGGCGACGAUCUGUAGCGGGUCUGAGAGGAUGAUCCGCCACACUGGGACUGAGACACGGCCCAGACUCCUACGGGAGGCAGCAGUGGGGAAUAUUGGACAAUGGGCGCAAGCCUGAUCCAGCCAUGCCGCGUGUGUGAAGAAGGCCUUAUGGUUGUAAAGCACUUUAAGCGAGGAGGAGGCUACUUUAGUUAAUACCUAGAGAUAGUGGACGUUACUCGCAGAAUAAGCACCGGCUAACUCUGUGCCAGCAGCCGCGGUAAUACAGAGGGUGCAAGCGUUAAUCGGAUUUACUGGGCGUAAAGCGCGCGUAGGCGGCUAAUUAAGUCAAAUGUGAAAUCCCCGAGCUUAACUUGGGAAUUGCAUUCGAUACUGGUUAGCUAGAGUGUGGGAGAGGAUGGUAGAAUUCCAGGUGUAGCGGUGAAAUGCGUAGAGAUCUGGAGGAAUACCGAUGGCGAAGGCAGCCAUCUGGCCUAACACUGACGCUGAGGUGCGAAAGCAUGGGGAGCAAACAGGAUUAGAUACCCUGGUAGUCCAUGCCGUAAACGAUGUCUACUAGCCGUUGGGGCCUUUGAGGCUUUAGUGGCGCAGCUAACGCGAUAAGUAGACCGCCUGGGGAGUACGGUCGCAAGACUAAAACUCAAAUGAAUUGACGGGGGCCCGCACAAGCGGUGGAGCAUGUGGUUUAAUUCGAUGCAACGCGAAGAACCUUACCUGGCCUUGACAUAGUAAGAACUUUCCAGAGAUGGAUUGGUGCCUUCGGGAACUUACAUACAGUGCUGCAUGGCUGUCGUCAGCUCGUGUCG